rnacentral:rRNA from 1 species
AGGGUUUGAUUAUGGCUCAGGAUGAACGCUGGCGGCGUGCUUAACACAUGCAAGUCGAACGAACCUUCGGGUUAGUGGCGGACGGGUGAGUAACGCGUGAGAAUCUGCCCUCAGGAGGGGGAUAACGGUUGGAAACGACCGCUAAUACCCCAUAUGCCUACUGGUGAAAUGAAUUUCGCCUGAGGAUGAGCUCGCGUCUGAUUAGCUAGUUGGUGAGGUAAUGGCUCACCAAGGCUUCGAUCAGUAGCUGGUCUGAGAGGAUGAUCAGCCACACUGGGACUGAGACACGGCCCAGACUCCUACGGGAGGCAGCAGUGGGGAAUUUUCCGCGAUGGGCGAAAGCCUGACGGAGCAACGCCGCGUGAGGGACGAAGGCCUCUGGGCUGUAAACCUCUUUUCUCAAGGAAGAAGAUAUGACGGUACUUGAGGAAUAAGCCACGGCUAAUUCCGUGCCAGCAGCCGCGGUAAUAC